UGCUCAAAGACAUCAGUUCAGUUCCUCAACUCGCUGUUUACCUCCUCUCUCCCUCCUCUCCUGUGGGUUGGAUCCCGCACCUUCGUGCACCGGUGUGACGUCAUCAGAAUUCUGCUCGGUUCGGUAGCCGGACUCGGUUCCAUGUUUGAAACGUGUUUCUCUACCGCUCCGCACGGCAGCGGCAAAAUAAUGUUUAGCGCUCAUAACAAGCGGAUUCUCAGCGCUUUGCUCAUAAAACAGAAGACCUGCAGGCCUCUGUGAGUUAAAACAUCCUGAUACUGUUCAGGUGUAAACAUUGUGCUCCAUCCCUGUGUUUGAACUCAGAAGUUGCUCCUUGAUGCCACAGAUAUGUGAUGAUUUAGCUUGUUUCUUUAUUUUACUCCAGAAUAAGAGAUUGAAUUAUUACAAAAGCAGUUCAAUGUAGUUAAAUUAGUCAUUCAAAUGAUUCUAACAUGCUGCAGUGUGUUUGUGCGCGCUUGCGUGUGCAUGUGCGUGCGUGCAUGUGUGUGUGUGUGUGUUACACAUAUAGAACUGCAUGAGACAGCGUGGUUUCAUCAAAUCCACGCAUCUUAUAUCUUGGCUGAAGUAAUGGCUCAGGAAAAGGAAAAUAACUUAUAUUUCAUAAAUAAUGACGUCUUAAUAGUGUCUACGAUAAUGUUUUAUCUUAUCUUUGGUCUGGGAGGUGUAACUUAUCAUCAUGCAAGCCUUUUAAAACAUGUUAAAGUGUUACAAGAGGAGAUUAAUGCAUGAAUUUAAAGUUCAUGUUUGGAGUCCAACCUUCACAGAUUGGAGGCUCACGCUGGUGAGGAGACACCGUUAGUUCUAGUAACACCUGGGCUCCCAAGGCCUGUUCUGACAGGAUGGACGUUACGGGACCCUUAAGGAUUCCAGUUGGAUGAUUGGAGGAUUAUUUAGGAGGAUUGGAAUGAACAAACUGGUUUCAGUGGUGAAGGGUUAAAUGAGUGAGUGAACCCACUACCAAGGAUGAACACUAACUUUAAAAAUCAGCUGCUCUAAAUAAGCAUGAAGGUCAGAGAGGAGCUCUAGGAUGGACACGGAUAAAGGAACUGUAAUGUGGAGGUAAAGCAGGGCAGGGCCAACGUUAGCAGCUGUCAUACGGUCCAUCUGAAAUGUUUGACUGCAUUUGGCUUGUUAUGUGACAGGUUAGAGCACAGUCUCAUGUUAGAGUUUUGUCAUGAAAACACUGAGAUAGCUCACAUACUGAUGGCAUCUAAAAAUAUUAUUUUUUCUCAAAAUAAAGAAUAAUUUAAAUCACAAUUGAAACAAUCGUAGAAAAACCUCGUCCAAUCAAUGUGCUCGUCCUGUUCUCACUAAUUGGAUAGAAAUCCCUCCUUCAAGCUGUGCAUGUUUGAGCGCGCACCCACGAGCGAAUUGUGAACUGGCGUUGUGAUUUAGCACUACUUAGAUGUAGCCAUCCUUACGCUGACAAAAAUGUAACUAAGUAACUUUUACUUUGAGUACAUUUUUUUACGAUACUUUUUACUUUUACUUGAGUAAAAAUUUAGGAAAGUACUUUUACUCGUAAUUGAGUAAAAAAUUAUCAAAGUAUUGGUACUCGUACUUAAGUAGGACAUUUUAGUACUCUUUCCACCUCUGUCUGACGGUAACGUUUCGUAUUCAGGAUAAAAAGAAAAAGAAAACAAGAAAGCAGCACCAUGGUCAGUGAAGACCUUACUCCUGCCUGUUUGAAAAUAGGUCACCACUUUCAGGGAUGGAAUGAUUCUGAGAUGGCAGCAGUCCCACAAUUAUCAGUUGUUGUAUUUAGCUUUUCCAAUGUGUUUUGGUUGAUUUGUUGAUUUUAAAAAGCAGAAAGUUUGAUAUGUUGUCAACUUUCAAUGGCGGUGGUAUAAUAAGUGCAAAUGUCAAUCCUCUUUGGAUAACAGUAAAACAAACUGAUACAAUUAUUUGCUUUCCUCUGAGUACACAGGACACCGACCGUGUGUAUUUUAAUACACCUUACAGCUUUCCACCCAGAGAGCAGGUGAAUAUGAGUGAAGAUUAUUGCAUGACAACAAAAUAAAAUUAAUUUUAACUGCUGUGCAUGAAGUCAUGUUUUUGUGUGUCUUGAUUAAGGACAAUGACGGCAUGGACCAACACAACGUGGUCACCACAACCAGAGAUGUUGGGAUCCUGAAUAAAGACAUGUCUUACGACAGGCUUGUGGUAAGGACAUGCAAAGGACCAAGAAACAACUUAUCUUAUUUAAUCUGCUUAACCAGAAUAAUUCUGUUCAGCAUCUAAAUCAGAAUCAGAAUAAGAAAGAAUUUUAUUGCCAGCGCUCCAGCGAUCCAGAGCAUAGGAACUUGACUCCACAAUACAGCCUAACCAAGAUUAAACACACACAUAUAGACAGGACAGAUACAGGCAGACCACGAGAGCAGCCAUAACGGCGCUCAUUUCAGUAGAUGAAGAGGGGAUUACAUGAGGAGAGUUCGGGGAGGGAGAAAAAGGCAUUAACAGAGCUACACCGGCAGGGUGUAGCUCUGUUAAUGCAAAAAAACACCCAACAUACAAGCACGAACGUCACAGUUCACAACAUGAGACCCGCUAGGUAGGGGGGAGGGGCUGGGACCCUGAUUUCCUCAGCGGGAGCAGCCUGUGUGGCGCUCGGCCAACUGAAUCCACAGGUAGGAGGGAGGUCAUGGGAAAGCACAGAGCACAGUGAGUGCCUCCAACUUGAUGACCUCGGUGCAGAGACCACAAUCUGAAGGCGGGGAGGUAGGUAGGGUUUUCACAGCAUUUGUCUGCAUUCCUUCCAUCGUGGGGGUUUUUGCACACAACUCCAAGGCUGCUUAUGGCGCCAGAUUGGAUAACAGAACCUUGUUUGGGUCAGGCAGAGAUAAUUUUCCUCUCUGCCUUAAAGUCUGUAUUGAUCAUUCAAAUCCUCCAGUGAAGCCAAUUCGGUGAUUAUACAUUUCCACACCGUCCGGUGACCCUCUCCGAGAUGACAUCCAGUUUGCGCACUAACACCGGUAACGCAGCUAAGACAUUGUCCAGCUUGCAAUUCACCUCGAGUAACGUCCCAGUCUGUGAGGUCUCCACCCGGACGGUGCCGUCCAUGGAUGCGGGUCGCCCUCCAAUCGCUCCCGUCAUCCCAAUUUUACGGAAAACCAGAUAUCCUCCCAUUCCAAUCAGAAGAAAUCCAGUGAUCAUCAGACCAAAUAUCCACACAUCUUCGACAUCCUCAAUGGACAGCUGAGAGAGACAGAUGACAUUCCACUUCUUCCAGGAAUCGAGCAUAUAUCCCGCUGCAUGUGUCCCGUGAGGACAAGCGCGAGCCCCCUCCUCCGUUCUCAUCGUAGAAAAAAUCUUAUCAAUCGCGUUGAAUGACCAAUUGAUUAAAUACAUUUCUGAAAAAUAGUAAUUUCCAGAGGAAAUGCAGAGAAGCGCUCUGUAGGCAGACGGGACAAGAAGAGCCUUGGGAAAAAGCAGAUAAGGGAGCAAAGCAGAAGCGACCGUGCUCUGUGAGUGCCAGAAGAGGUUUUUGAUCUAAUUUUAGGAAAGGGCUCAGCAAGCUGAAGACCAAAGAGUCAGCAGUGAUCUUCUUAUAUCAUUUAUCACUCAGGAUAAAGGCCUACUGCUACAUCUGUAAGUGAGUUUUAAAUUUAUAAUUAAAUUUGCACACUGUGACUAAUUUCAGUCAAAACAUGACUCAUGAAUUAUUUAAGUGAAUCAUUUUCUGCUAACCUAGUGUUUGGACAUUUACUUUGAGCAUCCUCCAAAAAUAUCUCUAUUUACAGGCAAUCAUCGCAGGAAAAGUGUCAUCCACCUGGGCUUCAUCAAAGGGCAGGGUGGACAUUUUCUUUGAGGAGGAUGAGCAGCUGGACAGAGUGAUGGGCUUCUUGACAAGCCUGGUUGAAGCACAGACAACCAGAUGUCACAAUCAAGUGGCAUUCAUGAUGGAUGUGCUUCUGCCAGAGGCAACCAUCCAUGCGCUUUCAGCUGUCCAUGAAUGUUGACAGACAAAGCCACAGAAAUGUACGGCCUUGGGCUGCAGUAUGACUGGAGAUUCCACUGCAUCAAUCACCUGGAGUCCCAGUGAGUGUAGGUCUCUCCCUCUUCUGCGGACAUCUUCAAGUAAAAAGACCUAUCACAGAAGUAGUUACAGUUCAGAAUCUCCAUCUGGUGGAGGCGAGUCUGAGUGCGAGAUGUUGUUUGCUCCUAACUGACCGACGAUGGACUUCAGGAGGAAGACAUGAGACGCUAUCUAUGCCGAUCUACGUACCGUGCAGAGACUUCCGUGUUAGAUCCGGAUGCCAGGUCCUCGGACCCUCCUUGGUGCUGGAACUGGCGAAACAGUGUCGGCAGCACGACAAACCAGUCUAUAGAUCGUCUCCCGGUACAACGGCAGGUUUUCAGCGUCACGCAGAGACCCCCCUUUUUGGGUCAGAGAGUUCAGCUUUUAUUCUGAUGGAACUGUCAUCUUGUUGAUAAAACGACAGAAUUUUCCAGCUUGACAGUUCUCAGCUUAAAAGUAGAAAAUACAGCUGGCCAGUCUGUACUUCACUUAGCGAUGAUGGAUUUGAGAGCUGGUCGAGUACUUGGUUUGAACUGCGUUGAACUAAACUAAAAUGGUGUUGUUCUGUUUUAUUAAGCUUAGUUGUUUAUGAUUCUUAGCGAAUCGGAGUGGACAGAUUAACUAAACACCACAGAGCUCUGCCACGCAUCAGAAAGGAAGCUCUGAUUGGAUGAGUGAACAAUGUGUCAUGUGUUUACCUUAUGUGAAUCAGGAUGUCUAGCUCAGUUAGCCCAAAGUCCUGUUAUUCAUUAAACACAUAAAUCAUAACAUUGUGAUUUCACAGAUCGGUCACCUGAUUAUUACUGACCAGCAGUUGUUUUGAUUAGGUUUAUUAGAAAUAAAGUUCUUUGAUUAACUAAUGAAAAGCGUUCUUCGUCCUUCUUCUGUCUUCUUUGCUGGAAUGUAAACAUCAGAAGCAAGCGCACGACCUUGGCAAUUUAUGCACACUGUCACUGUGUCAAAGGGCAGCUGUUAAGGGCAGAAAUGGCAUAUUCAUAACGCUACACCGGGGAGAGGACGGUCUGGAGCUCCCUAGUUGGGAUGCUGCCCCCGCGACCCGGACCCGGAUAAGCGGAGGAAGACGACGACGAUGAGGGACGCUUUUUGUUGAUAAAAUGUUUGUUUUGUCAAAUGUGAUUUGGUGUACUGCUCCCUAUUUUAAUGUUUUUGCACUCACGUACCUGUGUUAGCCCUCCCAGGAUCCCAGACCUGGUUGGGUUGUAACAGAAGAACUUGUUUUAUGCAUUGUGUGUAAAUAAACUCAAGUUUGGAGGAAGA